rnacentral:rRNA from 1 species
GACAGAGGGUGCAAACGUUGUUCGGAAUUACUGGGCGUAAAGCGUGUGUAGGCGGCCCUGCAAGUCGGAUGUGAAAGCCCCGGGCUCAACCCGGGAAGUGCACCCGAAACUGCAGGGCUCGAGUACCGGAGAGGUUGGUGGAAUUCUCGGUGUAGAGGUGAAAUUCGUAGAUAUCGAGAGGAACACCGGUGGCGAAGGCGGCCAACUGGACGAGUACUGACGCUGAGACACGAAAGCGUGGGAGCAAACAGG